UUCGUAGGCGGUGCGGCAAGUUGGGAGUGAAAUCUCUGGGCUUAACCCACGAGGCUGCUUCCAAAACUAGCUGUGCUUGAGUGUGGGAGAGGCGCGUGGAAUUGCAGGUGUAGCGGUGAAAUGCGUAGAUAUCUGCAGGAACACCCGUGGCGAAAGCGGCGCGCUGGACCACAACUGACGCUGAGGAACGAAAGCUAGGGGAGCAAACAGGAUUAGAUACCCUGGUAGUCCUAGCCUAACGAUCAGGACUUGGGUGCCGCCCGUUCGGGCGUCGUCCCGGAGCUAACGCGUUAAGUCCUGCACCUGGGGAGUACGGUCGGACAAGACUGAA
rnacentral:rRNA from 1 species